CAGUGGGGAAUCGGCAGUGAGGAAGUGAGGAUAUUUAUAUAAUUUGAAUUAUUAUUUUAUAACAUGUUAACUUUUGUGUGUGUGUUGGUGGAGCAGAGACAGGUGGCGCUUGGCAAGGUGAGUGUUUUGGCCGGCGCUGGUCAGUCUUGCCCCACGCACUCUGGUGAUAAGUGUUUCCGUAUUCCCGGCAGCUUCUCCCUGUACCAAGCACCGCCACGCAGCACCAGAGAGCCAUGAGUACGUAAGUGAGCUGGCUGGAGUUGUGAAGCGAGUGUGGCAGCGAGCCCUAUGCUGCCGACAGUGGUGUUGGGAGGCCGCAGCAAAGUGUGCGUGGAAGAUGCCAGUGGAGGCGGCAGUCUGUGUGGCAGGGCCUUGGGGGGUAAAGUCUUGGCCUGGCCACCCUGCCUGUGACCUGUGGCCUCUUGUUGCUUCACCAUGUUAAGAGGGUGGUGCUGUGAAGCUGGUGGCACAGGAGCUGACCAGUGCUGCAGGAAGACAGCACACAGCUUCAGUAUCUUCCAUGAUAGUGUUUAAAUAUACUGUGUUGGUUUGUUUAUUAGCAGUCAGAUUAAUUUGCUUUGCUUAGUCUUCAUUUAUUCUUUAUUUAGUGUUGGCAUAUAUAUAUAAUUGUUUAAUCUUUUAUUUAGAUUAAUUUUUCCCUGUGUGUUUAUUGUGUUGGCAAAUGUCUUCCCCUUUACAAGCUUAUUCCUUGUUGUAGGUCAGUUCAAAGUGGAGCAUUUUGACUCCUAAUACUUGACUCACCGUACUCAUCAUCAAGCUGUGUCCUGUACUUCGUGUGUAAGCUUCCAUAUCUUUGAGUCGUGCAUCUAAUACACUCUUCACUGUUCACCUGCACACGUUGAGCCUCGCCACAUUCAUGCAGGACGGAACAAAACGAAGCCUGUCCAUUUUGUGUGUCCAUUCUUUAUUCUAGGCACUGUACAAGAUGCAUCGUUUGUAUAUGUAAUGCUGUGUGUGUGUAAGGGGGACACUUAUUGAUGAGGGGCUGUGGGGAGUCACUGUGGGGUUCGUAAACAUACUGUGGGGUACAUACUGUGGGGCUGUGGGCUGUCUGUGGUGAGGUGAGGAGAGAGAGAGAGAGAGAGAGAGAGAGAGAGAGAGAGAGAGAGAGAGAGAGAGAGAGAGAGAGAAGGCGUGGAAACGAGAGGGACAAGCACAGCACAUACAACACAGCAAGGACUCAGACAACACAGCCAAUGAGAUGAGGCUGUUCAUGCCACACCAAGAAAUGCAGCUUCCCAUACACAUGUGGUCACCUGUGUACACACACACACACACACACACACACAUGGUUUGGUUAGGUUUGUUUGUUUGUUUUUAAUGUACAAGGGACACCAACCAAGGGCAACAAAAGUCUAAUAAAAAAAAAAAGAAAGAAAGGUCCAUUUUUUUGAGGGGUUAGGUUAAUUUAGUUUUGUUAGGUUAGGCUAGGUGGUGGUGACAGCCAGCCAGCCAGCCAGCCACCCAGCUAGCCAAAGUCAGUCAGUCAGUCAGUCAGCCAGCCAGCCAGUCAGUCAGUCAGUCAGUCAGUCAG